rnacentral:SRP_RNA from 1 species
GCUGGGCGUGGUGGCGCGUGCCUGUAGUCCCAGCUACUUGGGAGGCUGAGGCAGGAGAAUUGCUUGAACCCAGGAGGCAGAGGUUGCAGUGAGCCGAGAUCACGCCACUGCACCCCAGCCUGGUGACAGAGCAAGACUCUGUCUCAA